rnacentral:rRNA from 1 species
UACGUAGGGUGCGAGCGUUAAUCGGAAUUACUGGGCGUAAAGCGUGCGCAGGCGGUUGUGUAAGACAGAUGGGAAAUCCCCGGGCUCAACCUGGGAACUGCAUUUGUGACUGCACGGCUCGAGUGCGGCAGAGGGGGAUGGAAUUCCGCGUGUAGCAGUGAAAUGCGUAGAUAUGCGGAGGAACACCGAUGGCGAAGGCAAUCCCCUGGGCCUGCACUGACGCUCAUGCACGAAAGCGUGGGGAGCAAACAGG